ACCUGUGCGACAAGUGCAGCAAUUUUUACGGGACUCUUCGUUAUCUGUCCUACCAGCCGACAAGGAGGGAGGCUUCGUCGUGCUCACCGAGGUUAUGACAGCGGCGUCUUUUAAAGAAGGCGGCGGGAACAUCACUAGCGACAGCUACAAAGCAGCCCAUCAAAAAUAACAGCAGGCGGCGAUGACUUCCAACCUGGCAUCUGGGGUUGAAGAAGAAGCACCAAAUAGGAAGAGAAGGAGGCCGCAGCGUCUUCACCAAUCAUAUGAAAGCACUGAUGACUCACUUUACACGGCCGUUGAUGAGCGCACUUCUGUGCGACGCAGUCCGCAAUACGUAUCAAGCCCCCCCCCCCUCCCAAGUUGCCCA
rnacentral:lncRNA from 1 species